CUUUAUAUACCUACGAAUUUAAAGGUCGAAUUCGAUUGAAAAUCGUUGAAAUCAUUGAACCAGUGCUAUACCAUACGGCAGUUGAGUACUUGAGUAUAGUCCAGACGAUAGUUGUGUGUUUGCUUUUGGUAGCGAUGAUGAUCAAAUAGCAAUUUGGGACUUGGCUGUUGAAAGAGAUAUUCAUGGUCAUGAUGACAUAAAAGUAGGUAUACAUUAAUUUUUUUACAUUCGCUCAAAAUGAAUACCUUAAAUUUUAAAAAAUUGUGUACUAUAACAUUACCGUAGAGUAAAUUUUUCGUUACAAAUGGAGUUCUCAAUAAAUGAAACAAAUGAAAAAACUGAUAAUUGAUGGGAUUAAGUUUCGAACCCUAACGAUUCUUACAAAUGAUAUACGACGUAUAUUAUACGAAUAAUACAAUUUUAAAAUUAAAAAAUACGUCCAAGGAUAAUGGAAACUGGCGCAGCCACUGUUUUAGGUAAUUUAAAGUAAGUAUACCUGUAUACCUGUAAGCAACGAUAAACCAUUUACUUACGAAAAAAUGGUUCUGUGCAGAGUAGUUUCUAGUGAUGCUUUGUCAUAUUUAAGUUAAGUGGGUUCUAUAUAUUUUAUUUAAUAAUAAUUAUUUAAUGUCCGGAU
rnacentral:lncRNA from 1 species